UACGAAGGGGGCUAGCGUUGCUCGGAAUUACUGGGCGUAAAGGGCGCGUAGGCGGCACUGUUAGUCAGGCGUGAAAUUCCUGGGCUCAACCUGGGGACUGCGCUUGAUACGGCAGAGCUAGAGGAUGGAAGAGGCUCGCGGAAUUCCCAGUGUAGAGGUGAAAUUCGUAGAUAUUGGGAAGAACACCCGUGGCGAAGGCGGUUCUCUGGGACGGUACUGACGCUGAGGUGCGAAAGCGUGGGGAGCAAACCGG
rnacentral:rRNA from 1 species